UAUCUGUAUGAGACAUAUUGUCUUAUGUAAAAUUCUGCAGCAUUUGUGGAUGUUUCUCUAGAAGAACUAUUUCACAAUGAACGUUCCUUUAUGAAUGAGGUAUCAAAGGCAAGCCCAAUGGAGACGCAAUCAGCUAAGGAAAUACAAACAAAUGGAACUGUAAAACAGAAUGCAAGUUCUUCAACCGAACAACCUGAUUAUCGCCAACUGUUCAAUCUGUUCAAAGCUCACAAAGAUCCUAGAUAAAAUCCAAUUGCUUAUUCCUGUAAUAGAUUGAGAAAGACAAGCUACUUCUUCAGUAUUGUGGUAG